GUAUAUCCAAUCACAUGCGCAUGUUGCUGUGACGUGCUCUUGGAAGAAGGUCGUUGUGAUUUCAAAUUCUCCGUGGGAAAAUCUGGGUUUGACGGCGUUCAAGAGCAGAGUUCUCUACAUUUGGCCCAACAGCUCAAAUGGAAACUAGAGCACAAGAUCAGAAUGAAGCUCCCACACAUGGCCUUAUGACUGUUGCCCCGGUGAAGAACCCGAGGUCCAGCCUUCCCCACUCAAGACAUGCCUGAGACAAGAGUGACUGUAUUCCAAGUUGAUCCAAGGUGAUCCUAACUUAAAUGUAGUUCUUGAAAAAGACAAAAAUACUCAACACUAUUAAUGUUGAAAUCAUUGGUCUAUGGUUAUUACUGUCCUGAAACGACCCUUUGCCCUUUUUAUGUUUUUUUUAAAUGUUUUCUUCUGUACCAUAAUUAUGCUUGCAAAUAUUGCCUACCUAGAAAUGUAACUUGAACCUGAUCUCAAUGGUAUUCUAUACAAUGACAAUAAAGGCUUUCUAUUCUA